UACGUAGGGACCAAGCGUUGUUCGGAUUUACUGGGCGUAAAGCGCGCGUAGGCGGACCUGCAAGUCGGAGGUGAAAGCCCGAGGCUCAACCUCGGAACUGCCUUCGAUACUGCGGGUCUCGAGUCCGGGAGAGGUGAGUGGAAUUCCUAGUGUAGAGGUGAAAUUCGUAGAUAUUAGGAAGAACACCAGUGGCGAAGGCGGCUCACUGGCCCGGUACUGACGCUGAGGCGCGAAAGCGUGGGGAGCAAACAGG
rnacentral:rRNA from 1 species